GUGUCAGCCGCCGCGGUAAGACGAACCGUCCUAACGUUGUUCGGAAUCACUGGGCUUAAAGGGCGCGUAGGCGGGUGAUCAAGUCAGGGGUGAAAUCUUUCGGCUUAACCGGAAAACAGCCCCUGAUACUGAUUGUCUAGAGGGAGGUAGGGGUUGCUGGAACUUCUGGUGGAGCGGUGAAAUGCGUUGAUAUCAGAAGGAACGCCGGUGGCGAAAGCGAGCAACUGGAUCUCUUCUGACGCUGAGGCGCGAAAGCUAGGGGAGCGAACGGGAUUAGAUACCCCCGUAGUCC
rnacentral:rRNA from 1 species